rnacentral:sRNA from 1 species
GCUGUCAAUGGUAGCGUGGAGCAUAAGGAAUUGACAGCUUUUAACUA